GAUGAAGAACGUAGCAAAAUGCGAUAAGUAAUGUGAAUUGCAGAAUUCAGUGAAUCAUCGAAUCUUUGAACGCACAUUGCGCCCGCUGGUAUUCCGGCGGGCAUGCCUGUUCGAGCGUCAUUUCAACCCUCAAGCCCCCGGGUUUGGUGUUGGGGAUCGGCUCUGCCCUUCUGGGCGGUGCCGCCCCCGAAAUACAUUGGCGGUCUCGCUGCAGCCUCCAUUGCGUAGUAGCUAACACCUCACAACUGGAACGCGGCGCGGCCAUGCCGUAAAACCCCAACUUCUGAAUGUUGACCUCGGAUCAGGUAGGAAUACCCGCUGAACUUAAGCAUAUCAAUAAGCGGAGGA
rnacentral:misc_RNA from 1 species